ACCCCGAAUCUCAGAGGCUCCAUGUCUGUGCACUGUGGUCGCAGGAUACUUCGGUUCCUGCCCGCGGUGCUCAGGCUCCUACACACGCUCCGUUUUCUCUUUGUUUCUCUCUCUUAGGCAACCCUACUCAUCCUUCCAGGCCUGACAUAGAUGUCGCCACCUCCAGGAAGCCCUCUCUGACUGUGCCAGGUGGAACUGGCUUCUCCUUCCCGAUGUUUGCACCUCCCUUGCCUCUCAGGAGGGGUGACCGUGAACGUGGGGGUGGAAGGAGCCUGGCCUGACCCUUUGCAGAUCCACGUUGGAGUCCUGGGCCCAUCACCUACCGAUUCCACAAGGUCCUCAGCACCUGUGCUGUGGGGGAGGGACGCCAACCCUGUCCUAAGACCCUCACCAUUCACACUGUCACCCUCAAAAAGGUAAUAACAGCAGGGAAGGCAAACGAAUGCCACCCCCGACAGCAUCUCCUUUCACGAGCAUCUUCCUGCUGCUGCUGCCUGGCCUUCGUGUCUGUCCCUCCCUGCCCAAGCACCCUUGGGAAUCCCUGACGUAGUGGACCGUCACCGGCUCUCCUCCUCUACGGUUAUCAGGGCCAGGAUCUAAUUAACGAGAACUAACAGUCAGCAGUUAUUCCGACAGCAGCCGAGACUGUGGCUGUCACAGGGCGUUAUCUGGGCCAUCUUUCCUGGAUCCCAGGGCCCGGACCCCAGAGGUGCUGGCGCUGUCCCGCGCACGUGGCUUCAUGCCCAGCGCCAAACCCAAUGUGGGGCUUGAACUCAGG